rnacentral:rRNA from 1 species
AACGAACGCUGGCGGCAUGCCUAACACAUGCAAGUCGAACGGGAUCCUCGCUUGCUAGGUUAGAGUGGCGGAAGGGUGAUUAACACGUCGGACUCUGCCCUUUGGUCCGGGUUAACCGCGGGAAACUGCGGCUAAUACCGGAUGCCCUCGUGAGAGGAAAGAGUUAUCGCCAGAGGAGGAGCACCCGUCGGAUUAGGCAGUUGGUGGGGUAAAGGCCUACCAAGCCGACGAUCGGUAGCUGGUCGGGGAGGAUGAUCAGCCACACUGGGACUGAGAUACGGCCCAGACUCCUACGGGAGGCAGCAGUGGGGGAUAUUGGACAAUGGGGGCAACCCUGAUCCAGCAAUGCCGCGUGAAUGAUGAAGGCCUUAGGGUUGUAAAGCUCUAUUGCCAGGGAAGAUGAUGACUGUACCUGGAGAAUAAGCCCCGGCUAACUUCGUGCCAGCAGCCGCGGUAA